rnacentral:rRNA from 1 species
AACGAACGCUGGCGGCAGGCCUAACACAUGCCAGUCAAGCGCGCCCUUCGGGGUGAGCGGCGGACGGGUGAGUAACGCGUGGGAACGUGCCCUUCUCUGCGGAAUAGCCUCGGGAAACUGAGAGUAAUACCGCAUACGCCCUUUGGGGGAAAGAUUUAUCGGAGAAGGAUCGGCCCGCGUUGGAUUAGGUAGUUGGUGGGGUAAUGGCCCACCAAGCCGACGAUCCAUAGCUGGUUUGAGAGGAUGAUCAGCCACACUGGGACUGAGACACGGCCCAGACUCCUACGGGAGGCAGCAGUGGGGAAUCUUAGACAAUGGGGGCAACCCUGAUCUAGCCAUGCCGCGUGAGUGAUGAAGGCCUUAGGGUUGUAAAGCUCUUUCAGCUGGGAAGAUAAUGACGGUACCAGCAGAAGAAGCCCCGGCUAACUCCGUG